CAGCUGGACAGGAAACCAAACAAGGAAUUCGGAUUUAAACAGUCUUACGUGUCAUUACCAGAGUUUCAGUGAUUCAGAAAUCUCCAGGAGACUUUACGUGAACGGAUCCCUGCUGUUUGCUGUCUCUUCAUUGAUGAGCUUUGGUCACCCUGGUAAGGUUUGUUAACGGCAGAAGAAUGAAGGCUUUGAUCCUGGUUGGGGGGUACGGGACCCGGCUGCGACCGCUCACCCUGAGCGUCCCCAAACCACUCGUGGACUUCUGCAACAAACCCAUCCUGCUGCACCAGGUGGAGGCACUGGUCAAGGCCGGGGUGGACCAUGUGGUUCUGGCGGUGAGCUACAUGUCGGAUCUGCUGGAGAGAGAGAUGAGAGUCCAGGAGAAGAGA